rnacentral:rRNA from 1 species
UAGAGUUUGAUCCUGGCUCAGGAUGAACGCUAGCGGCAGGCCUAAUACAUGCAAGUCGAACGGUGUCUUCGGACAUAGUGGCGCACGGGUGCGUAACACGUAUGCAACCUACCUUACAUUGGGGGAUAGCCUUUCGAAAGGGAGAUUAAUACCGCAUAAGACAGUAGUCUGGCAUCAGACAGCUGUUAAAGAUUUAUCGAUGUAAGCUGGGCAUGCGUCCAAUUAGUUAGUUGGCGAGGUAACGGCUCACCAAGACUAUGAUUGGUAGGGGAACUGAGAGGUCAAUCCCCCACACAGGCACUGAGAUACGGGCCAGACUCCUACGGGAGGCAGCAGUAGGGAAUAUUGGGCAAUGGACGCAAGUCUGACCCAGCCAUGCCGCGUGCAGGAAGAAGGCGUUAUGCGUUGUAAACUGCUUUUAUACAGGAAGAAACGACUCU